ACCAAAUGAAAUGAGAGCAAUUUUGAUCUUUAACCAAUAUACAAUUUUGUUAUAUUGUAUAGAUAUAUAUAGAUCGAUUUUUGUCGAUUUUUUUUCAGAAUAUAUUAGUUGGCCCAUUUGAUAGUGAAGACCGAAGAGAAUGUUAAAAACUUACAUUUGCAAGGUUGCGAUACCCAUUGAUGUUAUUUUUAUUUUUUUGGUUUUAUUUUUAUUCACAAAAUAUCAUAAAAAUAUGUCAAUUUAUUUAAAUUUAUUAUUGUUAAUAACUUUAUUGAAAAUCCAAAAACUAUGUUAAAAAUCUAGUUUCUUUUUUUAAGAUAUCGUUGUUGGGUACUUGGGA
rnacentral:lncRNA from 1 species